rnacentral:rRNA from 1 species
AGCGAACGCUGGCGGCAGGCCUAACACAUGCAAGUCGAGCGCCGUAGCAAUACGGAGCGGCAGACGGGAGAGUAACACGUGGGAACGUACCCUUCAGUACGGAACAACCAAGGGAAACUUUGGCUAAUACCGUAUACGUCCGUAAGGAGAAAGAUUUAUCGCUGAAGGAUCGGCCCGCGUCUGAUUAGCUAGUUGGUGAGGUAACGGCUCACCAAGGCUACGAUCAGUAGAUGGUCUGAGAGGAUGAUCAGCCUCACUGGGACUGAGACACGGCCCGAACUCCUACGGGAGGCAGCAGUGGGGAAUAUUGGACAAUGGGCGCAAGCCUGAUCCAGCCAUGCCGCGUGGGUGAUGAAGGCCCUAGGGUUGUAAAGCCCUUUCGGCGGGGAAGAUAAUGACGGUACCCGCAGAAGAAGCACCGGCUAACUACGUGCCAGCAGCCGCCGUAA